UUUACUUUAGGUUAGGGUUGCACGAUAUUGACAAAAUGUGAUAUUGUAAUACUGAUUAUGAAUAUUGCGAUAAAUAUUAAUUUCAACAUUUUUUAAACCUGUCAAAUUACAAAAGUUACGAGAACGCAUCAAAAUAGAUUUGUAACAAAUUAAACAAGUUUUCUUACAA